AACGAACGCUGGCGGCGUGCCUAACACAUGCAAGUCGAACGAGAAAGGGGCUUCGGCCCUGAGUAAAGUGGCGCACGGGUGAGUAACACGUAGGUAACCUGCCUCUGAGAUUGGGAUAACUUGUCGAAAGACGGGCUAAUACCGAAUAAGACCACAGCUUCUUUGGGAGCAGAGGUCAAAGAUAGCCUCUACUUGUAAGCUAUCACUUAGAGAUGGGCCUGCGCACCAUUAGCUAGUUGGUAGGGUAACGGCCUACCAAGGCAAAGAUGGUUAGCUGGUCUGAGAGGAUGAUCAGCCACACUGGAACUGAGACACGGUCCAGACUCCUACGGGAGGCAGCAGUGGGAAUAUUGCGCAAUGGGCGAAAGCCUGACGCAGCAACGCCGCGUGAGUGAUGAAGGCCUUCGGGUCGUAAAGCUCUGUCGGAGGGAACGAACGUUCCCGGAGUUAACAGCUCCGGGAAGUGACGGUACCCUCAAAGGAAGCACCGGCUAACUCUGUGC
rnacentral:rRNA from 1 species